GGCCAGCAGCCGCGGUAACACGUAAGGGGCGAGCGUUGUUCGGAAUUAUUGGGCGUAAAGGGCGUGUAGGCGGUUACGUAAGCCUGAUGUAAAAGGCACUGGCUCAACCAGUGAGUUGCGUUGGGUACUGCGUAGCUAGAGUUCAGGAUAGGGAACUGGAAUUCCAGGUGUAGGGGUGAAAUCUGUAGAUAUCUGGAAGAACGCCAAAGACGAAGGUAAGUUCCUGGCCAUGGACUGACGCUGAGGCGCGAAAGCGUGGGGAGCGAACAGGAUUAGAUACCCUGGUAGUCCACGCUGUAAACGAUGUGCACUAGGCGUAGGGCGCUUUUUAGUGUUCUGUGCCGUAGCUAACGUGAUAAGUGCACCGCCUGGGGAGUAUGCUCGCAAGGGUGAAACUCAAAGGAAUUGACGGGGGCCCGCACA
rnacentral:rRNA from 1 species